GCCGGUCACCUGCAGCUAAAACUGACGCAGCAACGCCGUGUGAGGGAUGAAGGCUUUCGGGUCGUAAACCUCUGUCGGAAGGGAAGAACGGGCAUUGGUCUAAUAGGCCUUUGUUUUGACGGUACCUUUAGAGGAAGCACCGGCUAACUCCGUGCCAGCAGCCGCGGUAAUACGGAGGGUGCAAGCGUUAUUCGGAAUUACUGGGCGUAAAGCGCACGUAGGCGGCCUUGUAAGUCAGGGGUGAAAUCCCACGGCUCAACCGUGGAACUGCCUUUGAAACUGCAGGGCUUGAAUCCUGGAGAGGGUGGCGGAAUUCCUGGUGUAGGAGUGAAAUCCGUAGAUAUCAGGAGGAACACCGGUGGCGAAGGCGGCCACCUGGACAGGUAUUGACGCUGAGGUGCGAAAGUGUGGGGAGCAAACAGGAUUAGAUACCCUGGUAGUCCACACCCGUAAACGAU
rnacentral:rRNA from 1 species